rnacentral:lncRNA from 1 species
AGUGCCCUUAUGAAGAAAUUAUGAAAGCUUACUCUCUAGCUUGCUCUCUCUCUCUCUCUGCCUGCUACAGGAGGAUACCCCAAGAAGACAGCUGUCUGCAAACCAGGAAGAAGCCCUUUACUAGACACUGGAUCUGCUGGUGCCUUGAGCUUGAACUUCCUAGCCUAAAACUAGUCUCACUUUGUCAUCACGCUGGUGUGCGGUGGUGCAAUCUUGCUGACCGCAAGUUCUGCCUCCCAGGUUCAAGCGAUUCUCCUGCCUCUCGAGUAGCUGUAAGUACAGGUGUGUGCCACCACACCCACCUUAUUUUUGUAUUUUUAGUAGAGACGGGGUUUUACCGUGUUGGCCAGGCUGGGACUGUUGUAAUUCUGAAUCACAAGAUGUGUGCCCAACCUUCCUAUCUUUAAUUACAGAAUUAAUUCAUGGGGAUUUAUGCAUUAUUAGUCAUAGAAAAUUUUUUUACGAAAAAGAGUUGAAGAAGAGCUAGUAGAAAAAGUUAUUUGAUUUUUAUAUCAGAAUCAGCGUUGACCUUUCUCUUCCUGAAAACUCUUCUGCAGUUUCACAGUUAAAAUGAAGCAUACAAGGGUCAGAUACAGUGUCAUCAUUAAUACCACAAAAUAGAACACACUGGAAAUUGAGAAAAUAGCAGAAGCAAGAAGGUCAUUCUCAGCCUCCUCUCACUCUUCUUCCCUGAAGCAGGUCAAACCGCCUAGGAAGGUCACUGUCUGACCUUCACCCUCUCUUCUCCCUUAAAGAACUUCCUGUGACAGGUAUCCUGCUCUAUAC